GAGGGAAAGGUGAAAAGAACCCCGGGAGGGGAGUGAAAGAGAACCUGAAACCCUGCACUUACAAGCUGUAGGAGCACAUUUCUUGUGUGACUGCGUACUUUUUGUAGAACGGGCCAACGAGUUACGUUGUGUAGCAAGGUUAAGCACUUAAGGUGUGGAGCCGUAGCGAAAGCGAGUCUUAAAUGGGCGUCCAGUUACCCGACGUAGACCCGAAACCAGGCGACCUAUCCAUGAGCAGGUUGAAGCGAAAGUAAAAUUUCGUGGAGGACCGAACCCACGUACGUUGAAAAGUGCGGGGAUGACUUGUGGAUAGCGGUGAAAUUCCAAUCGAGCCUGGAGAUAGCUGGUUCUCCCCGAAAUAGCUUUAGGGCUAGCCUCAAGCUUAGAGAAACGGAGGUAGAGCACUGAAUGUCCUAGGGGGUAUUGCACUUACCGAAGACUAUCAAACUCCGAAUGCCGUAUUCUUUUGCUUGGGAGUCAGACUAUGGGUGAUAAGAUUCAUAGUCAAGAGGGCAACAGCCCAGAUCGUCAGCUAAGGUCCCUAAAUGUAAGUUAAGUGGUAAAGGAUGUGGAAUUGCACAGACAACCAGGAUGUUGGCUUAGAAGCAGCCACUCAUUUAAAGAGUGCGUAAUAGCUCACUGGUCGAGUGAUUCUGCGCCGAAAAUUUCCGGGGCUAAAACUUACUACCGAAGCUACGGCAUCAUUAUGAUGGGUAGGGGAGCUUUCUAUACGGGUUGAAGCAUGACCGUAAGGACAUGUGGACUGUAUAGAAGUGAGAAUGUUGGCAUGAGUAGCGAGAUGUGGGUGAGAAUCCCACAGGCCGUAAACCCAAGGUUUCCAGGGGAAGGUUCGUCCGCCCUGGGUUAGUCAGGACCUAAGCCGAGGCCGAAAGGCGUAGGUGAUGGACAACAGGUUGAUAUUCCUGUACCACCAAUAACCGUUUGAGAAAUGGGAUGACACAGUAGGAUAAGCUAACCGCACUGUUGGUUAUGUGCGGGCAAGUAUUGAGGCAGUUCCGAUAGGCAAAUCCGUCGGAAUAAUGCUGGGGUACGAUGCGGAGCGAAAUUUAGUAGCGAAGUAGCUGAUUUCACACUGUCGAGAAAAGUCUCUAUCGAGGUUAAAGGUGCCUGUACCGCAAACCGACACAGGUGGGUGAGGAGAGUAUCCUAAGGCCAGCGAGAGAACUGUUGUUAAGGAACUCGGCAAAAUGACCCCGUAACUUAGGGAGAAGGGGUGCCUUCGAAAGAAGGCCGCAGAGAAUAGGCCCAAGCGACUGUUUACCAAAAACAUAGGUUUCUGCUAAGUCGCAAGACGAUGUAUAGGAGCUGACGCCUGCCCGGUGCUGGAAGGUUAAGGGGAUCUGUUAGAGCAAUCGAAGCAGUGAACUUAAGCCCCAGUAAACGGCGGCCGUAACUAUAACGGUCCUAAGGUAGCGAAAUUCCUUGUCGGGUAAGUUCCGACCCGCACGAAAGGCGUAACGAUUUGGGCACUGUCUCAACAACAGACUCGGUGAAAUUGUAAUACCGGUGAAGAUGCCGGUUACCUGCGACAGGACGGAAAGACCCCAUGGAGCUUUACUGUAGCUUGACAUUGAGUCUCGGUGCUACAUGUACAGGAUAGGUGGGAGACUAUGAAGCAUGGACGUCAGUCUGUGUGGAGUCAUCCUUGGGAUACCACCCUUGUAGUACUGGGAUUCUAACCAGAGGCCAUGAAUCUGGUCUUGGGACACUGUCAGGUGGACAGUUUGACUGGGGCGGUCGCCUCCCAAAAAGUAACGGAGGCGCUCAAAGGUUCUCUCAGUACGGUCGGAAAUCGUACGAAGAGUGUAAAGGCAAAAGAGAGCUUGAUUGCAAGACAUACAGGUCGAGCAAGGACGAAAGUCGGACUUAGUGAUCCGGUGGUUCCGCAUGGAAGGGCCAUCGCUCAACGGAUAAAAGCUACCCUGGGGAUAACAGGCUGAUCUCCCCCAA
rnacentral:rRNA from 1 species